UAGAGCAUUAAGCAAAAGGAUGCACUCAGCAGCUGGGCCUGAAGAAGGACAACAAAGUUUGCUAAAUUUUAGGAAGAAAACAGUCUGAUGGAAAAGAGAGUAGCUAAGGAAAACCACUUUAGACGGGUUGAUCAGAGAAGACCUCUCCGAGGAAGCAACAUUGAGCUAAGUCCUCUAUCACCCGAGUCAAGUUCUGUCUGAUCCAGGAAAAGAACAAAGCAAACAAGUACAAAGUUCUGGAGCUGAGAAAAAAGUGAAAGUACAGUGAGUAUGGGAUGCUGCCCUCUCAGUGUGGACUUCAGAGAGAACACACAUGGAGCAUACGCAUAUUGAAGCCAGUGCCACCUGGCGAACCUGGGACCCCUGCAAUGGAAGCACAGAGUCUUACCCACUGGAACACCAGGGAAGUCCCCACUCUGAUGAAUUCUUCAGAGUAUUUCUCACUUCUUAUGGUGGAAGGAGGAAGUUUUCAUGUGACGUCCCUUCACCCUCUCUUUCUAUCUUGUGGGCAGAUUCACAGAAACAGCCAGGGUCACACAAUUGAACAGCAGUCAGAUUCCUCUCACCAUGGUAGAGCAGAACCCUUCCCAAGUACUGAGCUCAGAGGAGUCAACAGAAUCACACUGAGCUUGUCUGAAGAGAAAAAUUCACACCACUCCAGGAUUCACCUUAAUGGCCAGGCUCUCACUAACCAGGCCCCAGACCACAGACCUUUCCCUCUUUCUUCCUUUCUUAUCAAGCUUUCCUACUAUGUCUUAUACACCAUUUAGGUUCUGAUAUUAGGUUUGUUGACAUCAAAAAUUAAUUCCUACUACAGUGUGAGGAAUUCACUAUAGUUUAACAGUUUUAUCUUUCCCCAGGGACAUCAACAUUUCAAGCAAGACUUCCAGGAAUGCAAUUUCCUAGUUGUCAAAGUGAAUGUCUAAUGGUAGGAAUUUCAAUCAACUAAUAACACAGGAUGCCAGGAGUGAUAUUUCAGUGACUUCCACUCCCUCAAUCAUAGUAUAUAUAAUAGUUUUAUUUAGUGAGCUCCAUCCCAGAUACAACACUAGGUAUAUAUGGAAAAGGACCUCAUUAAACAACUUCCUCUGCCUACUUGUAAGGUUGAUGCACACCCAGCAGAAUACACACAAUAUUUGGUUCUAACUAGACUAUAAGCUUUGCCUAAGCUGAGUAAUUUAAGCAUCAUUUAUUUCACAAAAGUACUGUGUGUGCCAAUUAUUGCCUAAGCUUGAACUAGUUUCUGACAACCCCAAAGUGAAUUAUACAAGACUCAUGAAAUUUAAGGAUUUCAUUGUCCCAUGAGAUAUAGCUCAUAGUCAAAAUAUACAAUAUAUGUAUUAUUACAAGGCAGGCUAUGGAACUAGUCAACACAACCUCCCUUAUAACUCAUCCUGCACUAGUGAAGUUUCCAGUUUACUUGUCUGCUCCCUGCCCAUCCCCUGUAUCCUUGUGGGACAAGACUGUGUCUUACCCAUCUUUGUAAUUUACUUACCUAACUUCAGGAUACAAAACACAUUAGAUAAGAUAGGCAGGUGUGGAUAGAGAAACUGACCCUCGGGGAUGUUGAGGGUUUAGUCACAAUGAAAAACUAGUAAGAUCAGAAAUGGAUUCAAAUCUAGGUCCUUUAGCUCUAGGUGACAUGCUCUUACCUUAACAUCAUUCAUCUGGUGACAUUCCUUUCCAGGAAUCAACCUGACAAUAAUGCACAGGUAAGCAUGAAUGGUAAGCAUAGACACCUACAGUCCUUUCCAGUAAUCUACAGAUCACCUGCAUGUAAAUUACCUGCUUUGUGGCUUAUCUGUUAGAAAUGACUGCUAUCAGAGUGGUUUCCACCUGCCAGUGCCAUAAAUACAGCUCUGCACCUUCUCCCCUGAUUACUGCUUGCACAGGAAAUGCAGACCACAAAGAUUCUAAUAUUAGCAUAGAGCAACAUAAUUUAAAUAACAAAUCUGAUGCAACCCACCCACUGCCAAUUGACAAAAUUUAAUAUAAAUGGUUCUUAAGAGAAGUAUAUCCCUGCAUUAAUACAGAUAAUUAAUUAUUAAUAUCCUUGCAUUAAUUACAGAUUAAUUUAGAGUUUAUUGUAAAUACUUAACUUUGUUGGAAUUUACAUUAAGAGAUUCUGUUUUCAGUAGGGGUAUUUAAGAAUAUUGAUAUGUUCGUUCCUUUUUGAAGCUGCCCACCUCCAGGACACACUGUAUAACCUUCACUCUUGGAGGCCCCACAACUCAUGUAAUCUUAUAAGGUAAAUCUGGGAAAUGCAGCCCUCUCUAUUCAAAUUGCCAUGACACCAUUCCAUGGAAAGACUUGCUAGAGACCUGCCAAUAGUAAAGCUCCCAGGUGAGCAAUAGCAUCUUUCCACAUACAGAGAGCAAAUUCAGACUUGUCACAAGUGGCCAUUUAAUCACGAAACGAUUCUCUAGACACCACUUGUGUGAUUUAGUUUUCAACAUGUAAGUUCUCAGGUACGAUUGCAAAAGACCAACCACAAUGAAGUUAUAAAAUUAAACACACACACACAGAGAAAUAAGACUCUGGUGACUUAAAAAAAACUUUUUUGUUCCUUCUUUCACCAAGCUUUUUCCUAUUCCAUCCAGAUGGAGAGGACCACAGAAAAAUCUGAGGUAGCAGAGAUGUCACCAGUACAGUGCUGCUCUGAGGACCACGGGUAGAGUUUUCCUGGAGACUUAAAUAGAUACAAAGUCUUUUGUCCCUUCAGAAUAAAAAGUCUAGCAUACUUGACAAUGAACCUGUCAUUUUAAACCUUGAGGGUUUUAAUUUUAUACACAAUAGAGUUGGAAAAUGAACCUAUCAUAUAGUUUUGCUCAGAAUUCAGACUUAUAUUAUGUACUCCUACAGACGCCCUAAAAUGUACUCAAGUGGCAGGGUGUUGACAUAUACUGAAGUGGCAAUCCUAAUAGCUAUCUGCAGUGCACAAACUACUUUAGCAAACUACUACAGGAAACCCUUUUCAUUCAGCGCUAUAGACAAGCAGUUAAACAUAUAUAGUAGCCCAGCUAGUUAGUUAUCAUCUUGUUCUCACUAAGAAGAGACACUUAUCUCAAGGCAAGCAUAUGCAAACUCGGGGUGGAGGGGAAGGAAAAACGUGAACGCAUAUUCAAGGUUUUCUAAGGCUACUUAAGAUGAGAUAAUUGCACUUCUAUUACCUGGUUCUGAAGAUUACAUCGCAAAGACUAACUUUAUGUGUGUGUGUGUGUAUAAAAUUAUAUACAGCAAGUGUAGUCAUUAAUUGGGAGAACUGAAUGAACGCGGUAUCUGACCACGAAAAAGACAAGAUAAAAAACAUUAAUCAAGCAGCAUUUAAUCUCCAUUUACAUCAACUUCCUGAAGAAGCACCUCCAAAACUAAUAUGUUGGCAAUAUAAACAAAAUUAUAAUUAAAGAGAUAAAUUUAUCUCUAUUUUUAAUGUAACAUUCACUCCAUUGAUGAAACUAUUUUUCUCCAUUGCAUGUUUGAAGAAAAGAUCCAAUGUGUCAUUUCAAAAUUUGGUUUGGCUUUGCCAUAUUGCAUUUAUCCAAGCCAACAGAUUCAGCACAGCAUACCGUUCUAAUGUAAUGAUAUGCCACUGCUUCUGGACACAGCAAUAAGAGGAACAUCCAAAAACAGGCAUAAAACACCCAUGAAGAAAUGACAGAGCUUGAAGUCAGCUUGAAUAAUAUCUGAAUCAUAAAUUCUUGCAAGCGGAGGGAGAAAAAAGAGAAAUGGAGAAGCAAGGAGGAGGGGAAAAGAGCAGAUGAGUGGCUCAUUCUACCCACCUCCAGCACUGAAUUUAGGAGCUUUAUGCACUUUCCUAUUUCUU
rnacentral:lncRNA from 1 species